AUUGAACGCUGGCGGAAUGCUUUACACAUGCCAGUCGAGCGGCAGCACGGGGGCAACCCUGGUGGCGAGCGGCGAACGGGUGAGUAACACAUCGGAACAUGCCCAGUCGUGGGGGAUAACACUUCGAAAGAAGUGCUAAUACCGCAUACGUCCUGAGGGAGAAAGCGGGGGAUCGCAAGACCUCGCGCGAUUGGAGUGGCCGAUGUCAGAUUAGCUAGUUGGUGGGGUAAAGGCCUACCAAGGCAACGAUCUGUAGCUGGUCUGAGAGGAUGAUCAGCCACACUGGGACUGAGACACGGCCCAGACUCCUACGGGAGGCAGCAGUGGGGAAUUUUGGACAAUGGGGGCAACCCUGAUCCAGCCAUUCCGCGUGAGUGAAGAAGGCCUUCGGGUUGUAAAGCUCUUUCGGCAGGAACGAAACGGUGAGCUCUAACAUAGCUUGCUAAUGACGGUACCUGAAGAAGAAGCACCGGCUAACUACGUG
rnacentral:rRNA from 1 species